rnacentral:rRNA from 1 species
ACGGAGGAUUCAAGCGUUAUCCGGAUUUAUUGGGUUUAAAGGGUGCGUAGGCGGUUUGAUAAGUUAGAGGUGAAAUCCCGGGGCUUAACUCCGGAACUGCCUCUAAUACUGUUAGACUAGAGAGUAGUUGCGGUAGGCGGAAUGUAUGGUGUAGCGGUGAAAUGCUUAGAGAUCAUACAGAACACCGAUUGCGAAGGCAGCUUACCAAACUAUAUCUGACGUUGAGGCACGAAAGCGUGGGGAGCAAACAG